GGUUCUGCGAGGGGAGAGGUGGGGCUGGCUGGAGGCACACAGAAUCAGGACCUUACCAAUUAUGAGAUUUGCUGUUCCGCGUUCUCCACUAGGCAUUUGGACUCAGAACAUUCACUGCCUCAGGGGACAGACGACCCACCAGAAGUUAGAAGUUGGUUCUUGUCUUCUGAGUGUCAAACACUGAUGCCUGUGUUUGGAGGAUCUGGGAACAGAGAGGACCUCCCCGUCCCCAGGCUAGAGGCUGAGGAGUUGGAAAAGACUCCAGUCUAUUCCCAGAGCAAGUGUAGCAUUGACUGCCUGGAGACUCAGAGCACAGUCCUAGGGCAGCCUUGA
rnacentral:lncRNA from 1 species